UACGAAGGGUGCAAGCGUUACUCGGAAUUACUGGGCGUAAAGCGUGCGUAGGUGGUUCGUUAAGUCUGUCGUGAAAGCCCCGGGCUCAACCUGGGAAUGGCGAUGGAUACUGGCGAGCUAGAGUGCGGUAGAGGGUGGUGGAAUUCCGCGUGUAGCAGUGAAAUGCGUAGAUAUGCGGAGGAACACCGAUGGCGAAGGCAAUCCCCUGGGCCUGCACUGACGCUCAUGCACGAAAGCGUGGGGAGCAAACAGG
rnacentral:rRNA from 1 species